rnacentral:tRNA from 1 species
GGGCGUGUGGCGUAGUCGGUAGCGCGCUCCCUUAGCGUAUGUGGGAGAGGUCUCCGGUUCGAUUCCGGACUCGUCCA